AAUUUCAAUACGCAGGCGCAGCAUAGCAUUCCGACGUAUGGAAGCAAUGAACAUUUCGCAUUUUCUCCCUCCAGAUGGAAGAACCAUAACAGAUCGAAAAGGCAGCGGGACUGGGGGGAAAGACUGAAGUGAAAGGAGUUUUCCAGAAGGACAAGAAGAUAAACGCACUCUUGGAACAAACAACCAAUGGAAGAGGUGAAAAUAAGCUGUUCGAAAGCCCUUGCAAUGAUCCGUUUUGCAAACGUUUAUUCGUUGUGAAAAGGGACAUUCUGGAAACUAUGAAUCAAGGAUAGCAGUACAGUCACAUUUAACAGCUGCAUGGCUGUCCAAAGUGCAAACAUGAAAGGAUGACAUGGAAAUCAGAACAUCCGACUGAAAGACCACUGCUUUCUCACGCUCAUAUAGAUGGAGAGACAGUGCUUGUGAACGAUGUAUGCUGGAGGAGAGAUGCACAUUAGGUAGCGUCGGUAAAUAUCCAAGGAAACUGGAAAGUGGACAGUAAAGAAUAGCUGGUGGGGAGCUGUCAAAAGGAUGGAUUUUAGCGUACUACGGAAUCUCAUCAGUAGAUACUGUGCUGGGGAGGAGUACUGGGUGGACAGCCGGACAGUAUACAUCGGUCACAAAGAACCCCCGCUGGGGGCCGAUGCCUACAUCCCUCAGCGUUAUCCCGACAACCGCAUUGUCUCUUCCAAGUACACCGUAUGGAACUUCAUCCCCAAGAACCUGUUUGAACAGUUCAGAAGAAUCGCCAACUUCUAUUUCCUGCUCAUCUUCCUGGUCCAGCUCAUCAUAGACACGCCUACCAGCCCCGUCACCAGCGGACUGCCUCUAUUCUUUGUCAUCACCGUCACUGCCAUUAAACAGGGUUAUGAAGACUGGCUGAGACACAAGGCAGACUGCAGUAUAAAUGAGUGUCCUGUGGACGUGGUGAAGGAAGGGACGGUGGUGAGGACACAGAGUCACAAGCUACGGGUGGGGGACGUUGUCAUGGCGAGUGAAGAUGAGACGUUCCCCUGUGACCUCAUCCUGCUCUCAUCCAGCCGCGAUGACGGAACCUGCUACGUCACCACCACCAGCCUGGAUGGCGAGUCCAGCCACAAGACCUACUAUGCUGUACCGGACACCAUGGCCUUUAAGACAGAGCAGGAGGUGGACUCUCUACAUGCGACUAUUGAAUGUGAACAACCACAGCCUGAUCUCUACAAAUUUGUGGGGCGCAUCAAUAUUUAUAAGGAAAGUGAAGAUCCCAUAGCCAGACCCCUGGGAGCUGAGAACCUUCUCCUCAGAGGAGCCACCCUGAAGAACACAGAACACAUUUAUGCUGUAGCCAUCUACACGGGCAUGGACACCAAGAUGACGCUGAACUACCAGUCCAAAUCCCAGAAACGCUCCGCUGUAGAAAAGUCUAUGAACGCAUUCCUCAUAGUGUAUCUGUGUAUCCUGAUCAGUAAAGCGGUCAUUAACACGGUUCUGAAGUACGCGUGGCAGUGGUUUGCUGACCACGACCAACCCUGGUACAACCACAGGACCGAGAUCGACAGAGAACGCCACGUGGUGAUCAGGGCGUUCACAGACUUCCUGGCCUUCAUGGUGUUGUUUAACUACAUCAUUCCAGUCUCCAUGUAUGUUACCGUGGAGAUGCAGAAGUUCCUGGGGUCUUACUUCAUCGCCUGGGACAAGGAUAUGUACGAUGAUGAGCUGGGGGAGGGGGCUCAGGUCAACACAUCAGACCUCAAUGAAGAGCUGGGACAGGUGGAGUAUGUGUUUACUGAUAAGACGGGGACGUUGACAGAGAACAACAUGGAGUUUAUAGAGUGCUGUGUGGACGGACACGUCUAUAUCCCCCACGCCAUCUGUAAUGGACAGAUCCUCAGUGCUGCUUCCAGCAUAGACAUGAUCGACUCCUCACCUGGAGGAGACCACAGGGAGCAUGAGGAGCUGUUCUUCCGGGCUCUGUGUCUGUGCCACACGGUGCAGGUGAAGGAGGAGGGGACAGUGGAUAGCAUCAAGAGAGGGAUCCACCAGGGAAAACCCACCUCCUUCUACAUAUCAUCUUCUCCUGAUGAGGUGGCCCUGGUGGAGGGCGUGAAGAGGUUGGGGUACACAUAUCUAAGACUCAAAGACCGUCAUAUGGAGAUUCUCAAUAAGGAGGAUGAGAUUGAGAGGUUUGAGCUGCUUCACGUGCUGAACUUUGACUCUGUCAGGAGGAGAAUGAGCGUCAUUGUCAAGUCUAGUGCAGGGGAGUACCUGUUGUUCUGUAAGGGGGCUGACUCCUCCAUCUUCCCCAGGGUGGUGUCAGGGAAGGUGGGGCAGGUGAGGGCGCGGGUGGAGCAGAACGCUCUGGAGGGCUUGCGGACCCUGUGUGUGGCAUACAGAAGUCUCUCCCUAGCAGAGUACGAGGAGGCGUGUCAUCAGCUGAGCGACGCCAAGCUAGCCCUGCAGGACAGGGAGCAGCGACUGGCGCAGGCUUAUGACCUCAUCGAGAGGGACUUCACCCUGCUGGGGGCCACGGCUGUGGAGGACAGGCUCCAGGAGAAGGCAGCAGACACCAUCGAGUCUCUCCACAAGGCUGGGAUGAAGGUGUGGGUCCUGACUGGGGACAAGAUGGAGACGGCGGCUGCUACAUGUUAUGCUAGCAAGCUGUUCCGCCGCUCCACCCAAAUAUUGGAGCUGACCAAGAAACGCACCGAGGAACAGAGUCUACAUGAUGUUCUGUUUGACCUGAGCAGAACCGUACUGAGACAGCGCUCCCUGUCGGGGCUGUCUGUAGACUGUCAGGACUAUGGUCUGAUCAUCGAUGGGGCCACCCUGUCUGCGGUGCUGAAGCCCAGUCCAGAGAGCUCUGGCUCUGGGAACUACAGAGAGAUCUUCCUGGAGAUCUGUAGGAACUGCAGCGCCGUUCUCUGCUGCCGCAUGGCGCCCCUACAGAAAGCACAGAUUGUGAAGCUGAUCAAGGCAUCUAAGGAGCACCCCAUCACUCUGGCCAUCGGAGACGGAGCCAACGACGUCAGCAUGAUCCUCGAGGCACACGUGGGCAUCGGCAUCAUGGGUAAGGAGGGUCGCCAGGCAGCGAGGAACAGCGACUAUGCCAUCCCAAAGUUCAAACACCUGAAGAAGAUGCUGCUAGUUCACGGCCACUUCUACUACAUCCGCAUCGCUGAGCUGGUGCAGUACUUCUUCUAUAAGAAUGUGUGCUUCAUCUUCCCUCAGUUCCUCUAUCAGUUCUUCUGUGGAUUCUCUCAGCAGCCCCUGUACGACACAGCCUACCUGACGCUGUACAACAUCAGCUUCACCUCCCUGCCCAUCCUCCUCUACAGCCUCAUAGAGAAACACAUCAGCAUAGAGACACUGAAGAGAGACCCCACUCUGUACAGGGACAUAACUAAGAACUCUCUCCUGCGCUGGCCCGUGUUCCUGUACUGGACAUGCCUGGGCUUAUUCGACGCCUGUAUCUUCUUUUUUGGUGCCUACUUCCUGUUCGACAACACCACCUUCACUAGCAACGGACAGCUUAUGACCACCAACACACAGAUGAUGUUUGGGAACUGGACUUUCGGGACUCUCGUCUUUACUGUGCUGGUGUUCACGGUCACGCUGAAGCUUGCCUUGGACACACACCACUGGACCUGGAUCAACCACUUUGUCAUCUGGGGCUCCCUGCUUUUCUAUGUCAUCUUCUCUCUGCUCUGGGGAGGCAUCAUCUGGCCUUUCCUGAACUACCAGAGGAUGUACUAUGUGUUCAUGCAGAUGUUGUCCAGCGGUCCAGCUUGGCUCAGCAUCAUCCUGCUCAUUAUGGUCAGCCUGCUGCCUGAUGUGGUCAAGAAGGUCCUCUGCAGAACACUGUGGCCCACCGCCACUCAUCUUGCACAGUCCAAUCGCCCGUGCCUUACCGUGGAGCCGUCCACCAUCUUCGUGCUUUCUCAGUCCGAUAGCAGAUUGAGUUUCUGAUUGGCCGAGAGACUGCAGAGGAGGAGGAGUGUUCCCAUCCAGGUCUCUCACCAUCCAGGUCUCUCACCAUCCAGGUCUCUCACCAUCCAGGGCUCUCACCAUCCAGGGCUCUCACUAUCCAGGUCUCUCACCAUCCAGGGCUCUCACCAUCCAGGGCUCUCACCAUCCAGGUCUCUCACCAUCCAGGGCUCUCACCAUCCAGGGCUCUCACCAUCCAGGUCUCUCACCAUCCAGGGCUCUCACCAUCCAGGUCUCUCACUAUCCAGGGCUCUCACCAUCCAGGGCUCUCACCAUCCAGGGCUCUCACCAUCCAGGGCUCUCACCAUCCAGGGCUCUCACCAUCCAGGGCUCUCACCAUCCAGGUCUCUCACCAUCCAGGUCUCUCACCAUCCAGGUCUCUCACCAUCCAGGUCUCUCACCAUCCAGGGCUCUCACCACCCAGGGCUUCCAUUUCAAACAAUUCAACUCAAUUACCAGACAAUACUAUCAUUCACACUGCUAUAUAUGCUACUGCUGACCAUGCUACAGCUGAUAACAGGUUGUACUAAUUUUGAUCCUUCUGUUAGCAUCCUGCUAGCCUAACAAUCUCACCCAGUACCAUACAGCAUCUCUUCUAUUCAUGUUCCUCUAUGGAUGCUGUUCAAAUGUAUCUACUGGAAAUUGAUGUAUAAAAUGUACAUGAAUGUGUUAUUCCAUCCAAAUGCUAACUUGGACUGAUGUUUUGUUUUCUACACUGGAGUAAUCCUCAGCAGGACACUGGGAAGUUGAAGGGCUAUCAUUGCAUGCCACAUACAGUUUGUUACAGUUCAAUGGUUCACCGCAUGGCUUCUAUUUAGAACCUCCUGGUUCCUGACCCCUGCUCACCCUACUGUUUGCCCACAGAGGGUGAAGGCUGAUGGGGAGUGUGUCCUCUGCCCCGGACGCCAGUCCUGUUGGAGGUGGAGGCAGUGAGAGAGACAUGCUUUGCCCUGCUAGGACCUGUGAGAGGGACAGAGGAGGUGGAGGGGUGCAAGCUACCAGGACCUAUGACUCCAUGAUGUCACACAACCCUAACUACCUGCUCAGCCAGCCCCUAGACCAUUCCCCAACAGAGAACUAGGGUUGCUACGGACGUUGACAAGCUGUUGCAGGCCAGUGUAGCAGAGUUGACCCCCGUGCUCUCAUGCCCUUCUGGCCCUUCCUCCAAACGGAAGAGCACUGACUCCUCCCACCUCCACAUCAGGGUUCCGAAGCCCCUCCCACUCCACAGGUCUGAGUCCUUCCCCCACAAACUACUAUUGGCCCACUGGAAUGAUGGGGGCUGGACAGACCGCUGGCUUUGCCUACUACGCACCGGGGCCAGAGACCUUUGUGUGACACACCCUCACACACACAAACACACACACAGGCUAAUGUGUGAACACACACAAAACGAUGUGCUCACAAAACGAUGUGCACACACACUAGAGACCAAUGUGAUCUAAACCUACAGCUUAGGAUGUGGAAGGAUUUGUAUUCCACUAAUAAACAAUGCAAACACACACACACAUAUGAAAAAUAAUUCACACAUCCUGAAAAACAUUAAACAUCUUCAAACAAUU